rnacentral:snRNA from 1 species
ACACUACAUAUUUAUUAACAAUGGUUUACAAGAACUUAAAAAAACUGUGAAAAUUCAACCCAACCGAGACACACCAUAGGCAACGCAGUAACUUGCUGAACCAUUCUGUGAACUAAUUUUUUGAGGCACUGGGUGUAAAUAUGAAUUAACCAGUGCCA